rnacentral:rRNA from 1 species
AGCGUACACGGUGGAUGCCCUGGCAGUCAGAGGCGAUGAAGGGCGUGCUAAUCUGCGAUAAGCGCCGGUAAGGUGAUAUGAACCGUUAUAACCGGCGAUACCCGAAUGGGGAAACCCAGUGUGAUUCGUCACACUAUCAUUAACUGAAUCCAUAGGUUAAUGAGGCGAACCGGGGGAACUGAAACAUCUAAGUACCCCGAGGAAAAGAAAUCAACCGAGAUUCCCCCAGUAGCGGCGAGCGAACGGGGAGGAGCCCAGAGCCUGAAUCAGCAUGUGUGUUAGUGGAAGCGUCUGGAAAGGCGCGCGAUACAGGGUGACAGCCCCGUACACAAAAGCGCAUGUGUUGUGAGCUCGAUGAGUAGGGCGGGACACGUGGUAUCCUGUCUGAAUAUGGGGGGACCAUCCUCCAAGGCUAAAUACUCCUGACUGACCGAUAGUGAACCAGUACCGUGAGGGAAAGGCGAAAAGAACCCCGGCGAGGGGAGUGAAAAAGAACCUGAAACCGUGUACGUACAAGCAGUGGGAGCACAGGUUUACCUGUGUGACUGCGUACCUUUUGUAUAAUGGGUCAGCGACUUAUAUUCUGUAGCAAGGUUAACCGUAUAGGGGAGCCGGAGGGAAACCGAGUCUUAAUUGGGCGUUAAGUUGCAGGGUAUAGACCCGAAACCCGGUGAUCUAGCCAUGGGCAGGUUGAAGGUUGGGUAACACUAACUGGAGGACCGAACCGACUAAUGUUGAAAAAUUAGCGGAUGACCUGUGGCUGGGGGUGAAAGGCCAAUCAAACCGGGAGAUAGCUGGUUCUCCCCGAAAGCUAUUUAGGUAGCGCCUCGUGAAUUCAUCUCCGGGGGUAGAGCACUGUUUCGGCUAGGGGGCCAUCCCGGCUUACCAACCCGAUGCAAACUGCGAAUACCGGAGAAUGUUAUCACGGGAGACACACGGCGGGUGCUAACGUCCGUCGUGAAGAGGGAAACAACCCAGACCGCCAGCUAAGGUCCCAAAGUCAUGGUUAAGUGGGAAACGAUGUGGGAAGGCCCAGACAGCCAGGAUGUUGGCUUAGAAGCAGCCAUCAUUUAAAGAAAGCGUAAUAGCUCACUGGUCGAGUCGGCCUGCGCGGAAGAUGUAACGGGGCUAAACCAUGCACCGAAGCUGCGGCAGCGACACUGUGUGUUGUUGGGUAGGGGAGCGUUCUGUAAGCCUGUGAAGGUGUGUCGUGAGGCAUGCUGGAGGUAUCAGAAGUGCGAAUGCUGACAUAAGUAACGAUAAAGCGGGUGAAAAGCCCGCUCGCCGGAAGACCAAGGGUUCCUGUCCAACGUUAAUCGGGGCAGGGUGAGUCGACCCCUAAGGCGAGGCCGAAAGGCGUAGUCGAUGGGAAACGGGUUAAUAUUCCCGUACUUGGUGUUACUGCGAAGGGGGGACGGAGAAGGCUAUGUUGGCCGGGCGACGGUUGUCCCGGUUUAAGCGUGUAGGUGUGUGUUCCAGGUAAAUCCGGUUCACUUUAACACUGAGGCGUGACGACGAGGCACUACGGUGCUGAAGCAACAAAUGCCCUGCUUCCAGGAAAAGCCUCUAAGCAUCAGGUAACAUCAAAUCGUACCCCAAACCGACACAGGUGGUCAGGUAGAGAAUACCAAGGCGCUUGAGAGAACUCGGGUGAAGGAACUAGGCAAAAUGGUGCCGUAACUUCGGGAGAAGGCACGCUGACACGUAGGUGAAGUGAUUUACUCAUGGAGCUGAAGUCAGUCGAAGAUACCAGCUGGCUGCAACUGUUUAUUAAAAACACAGCACUGUGCAAACACGAAAGUGGACGUAUACGGUGUGACGCCUGCCCGGUGCCGGAAGGUUAAUUGAUGGGGUCAGCGCAAGCGAAGCUCCUGAUCGAAGCCCCGGUAAACGGCGGCCGUAACUAUAACGGUCCUAAGGUAGCGAAAUUCCUUGUCGGGUAAGUUCCGACCUGCACGAAUGGCGUAAUGAUGGCCAGGCUGUCUCCACCCGAGACUCAGUGAAAUUGAACUCGCUGUGAAGAUGCAGUGUACCCGCGGCAAGACGGAAAGACCCCGUGAACCUUUACUAUAGCUUGACACUGAACAUUGAGCCUUGAUGUGUAGGAUAGGUGGGAGGCUUUGAAGUGUGGACGCCAGUCUGCAUGGAGCCGACCUUGAAAUACCACCCUUUAAUGUUUGAUGUUCUAACGUGGACCCGUGAUCCGGGUUGCGGACAGUGUCUGGUGGGUAGUUUGACUGGGGCGGUCUCCUCCUAAAGAGUAACGGAGGAGCACGAAGGUUGGCUAAUCCUGGUCGGACAUCAGGAGGUUAGUGCAAUGGCAUAAGCCAGCUUGACUGCGAGCGUGACGGCGCGAGCAGGUGCGAAAGCAGGUCAUAGUGAUCCGGUGGUUCUGAAUGGAAGGGCCAUCGCUCAACGGAUAAAAGGUACUCCGGGGAUAACAGGCUGAUACCGCCCAAGAGUUCAUAUCGACGGCGGUGUUUGGCACCUCGAUGUCGGCUCAUCACAUCCUGGGGCUGAAGUAGGUCCCAAGGGUAUGGCUGUUCGCCAUUUAAAGUGGUACGCGAGCUGGGUUUAGAACGUCGUGAGACAGUUCGGUCCCUAUCUGCCGUGGGCGCUGGAGAACUGAGGGGGGCUGCUCCUAGUACGAGAGGACCGGAGUGGACGCAUCACUGGUGUUCGGGUUGUCAUGCCAAUGGCACUGCCCGGUAGCUACAUGCGGAAGAGAUAAGUGCUGAAAGCAUCUAAGCACGAAACUUGCCCCGAGAUGAGUUCU